rnacentral:lncRNA from 1 species
GCCGGCUGAUGAAACUGACAAAGGCGAGAGCGCGCAGCAGCCCACAGCAGCCGAGUUCGCGCCGCCGGUAGGUGCUGCCAUGCCAGGGGGCGGGAUCGUGGAGCGCCUCGCAGAACCGCACGAAAGCAAAAACAAAGCCAUCUCUCCGGAGCAGAAAUAGAACAGACGUGGCCGGGGAAAGCCAAAUAUUUGUGGCUGGACUCAGACACAUCACGCUCCAGUUUGGGUUCCAAGGUGCUUCUCUCUGGAUUUUCACCUGCCUUGCCAAAAAUGAUUGAUUACGCUGGGCCAACUGGGUGUCCGGCAAUACCCAACAAAUGACUUUGGCCCCUAACAGCAGGUCUUGGCCAGACAGAAAUCAAUAUUUCACCAUUAAAAUCUAUCAAAGAAGAGUUAAGGCACCAUCUGUCCCUGCCGCCUCUCUAUGGUGUGUGAACAUUAAAUCCGACACUUGUACUACAUGGGUAAUCAAUAUAUAGUGGUUCACAGAUCAUUUGUGGUUCCCUUUUAGCAGUGAUGGAUGUCUGGAAUCGUUGUGAUUCAUUUUGUCAGACCAUUAAACAAGAUUCUGUCCAGUUCCUUCC